GUAGAUUUUAGCAAAAUUUAUGUAAAGAAGGCAAGAAUUGAUAUCCAAAGGAGACUAAUUAUUAACCUAGGUCAAAAUCAAAUCCUAAGACACAAAACCACGCAUCUACAUUGACUUCGAGGUUCUUUGAUAGAUAAAAAAGUGGGAUUUGAGAGCAAACUUAAGAAAAGAUUUUUAGACUUUGCUAAUAUGUCAAUUGAUUCAAUAUUGAGUUUUUGAAGAAUUUUCAAAGUUAGUAAUGUUUUUAAUUGGUUUAGAUUUUGAAAAAUAAAAAUAUAUUUAUAAAUUUGAAGGUUUUUUUUAGUUAUGUGGUAUUUAUGUACGUGAAUUUUGGAUA
rnacentral:lncRNA from 1 species